ensembl:lncRNA
GCUCAAACACAUUCAGACAUGAAAAAUAUUCCGUUGACAUGGACCAGUCAGACAUCAAACAUGUCUACAUUGAAGGCUCUUCUAAGAAAGCUGACCAAUACGAAGCCUGUGAUUGGCUGGUAUUUUUGCAUGUGGUUGUGUUUACGUCCGAGAUACACCGAUAAUGCUGACACAUAUUUUCCACUGACGUGGACCAAUCAGACCUCGACACAGACAUCCGCUUCAAAGACCCUCACCAUCGUCAGCCCCCCAGAACCAGUCUCUGAGAUGGAGAGGUCAAGAGCUGUUCGCAUCGCUCUCGUCUGUGCUUUGUUCUCCAGGAUCUCUGGAGCAGAAGUGGAGAUGAGGGUCAGACAAGGAGACGACGUGACUCUCUACAGCGACUGUGUUUGGAAGAGUGGAUUUAAUAUAGUUUGGUUUAGAAACUCCUCAUGUGAGCAUCGACCUCCUCUCAUGAUAUCAACUCUAGAUUUGAUACGUGGUGCUGAUCCACGUUACUCUGCUGUGUGGAAUCCCUCCAGCAAAACUCAUGAUCUGUUGGUGAAGAACGUCUCUGAUUCAGAUGUGGGUCUGUACUACUGCGCUGUGUAUGAGAAAAACAUCACCAAAGACGAAAAGGGAGUUUUACACUCUGAAGUUAUUUAUCAUUACGGGAAAAGAACCACUCGACUCUCUCUCCUUGGUCCUUGUACUGAUCUCCCCCAGACCCCCUCCACCCGUCCUGUCUCAGACCGUAGCGUCUGCUGGAAGCUGCUGGUCAGUGUGUGUCCUCUGUGUGUUCUCCUCUCCUCCACCUGUGUGUGCU